AAUCGAAACCCGCUCCAGUGAAGCCAGCUAUCCCUCCGGCGCCGGUUCCACCGAAGACCACCAGUUGUGGUCUUCGCAAGGGCCACAAAAGACGGGCGGGGUGUCCAGUAGCACCCCGAAGGCAAGCUUUCCUGGGGGUCCUUGUCUUGCUCCGGAGGAAGAAGGCGUCCGGAGGGCUUACCUAAUGAGCAAGCAAGCACGGAAAGGAGCCAACCACAAGGUUGGAGGUGCAGCGCCCCGCGGGAGGUGAAGAGAGAGACGAAGAUGGGUGAGCAAUCUGCCUGCAACGCGAGAGGGUAGCCUGGCAAGGUUUGUUUAUGUCCGUGCGUGCGUAGGGCGAUUUUAUAGGCGCCUGGGCCCCGCCCCCAGGGCCUCGCCCCUCCCAGACCCUCUGCUCCCAGCGCAGCUGGAGACGGGGACACACCCCUUUCUCCGGCCCGCCUCGUGCUGCACCCUGCCUGGGCUGGGCGGGGCGGGCUGGAGCCGCCGCCUGUUGCGCAAGCCUUUGCAGGGGCGCGACGGGAGAGACUGCCCGGCCCUGCCUGCCGCUCUUCCCUGUGAUCCGCUCUCCGGACCGCGGCGUGUGCAGCGAACGUGUGCCCACCGAGUGGUAGCGUGGUGUGCCAGUGCGCGCUCGUACGCGUGUGCAUACGGACUCCCUUGUGUCUCUCUGCGCGACCGCUUGGCCCCCCUAUAGCCUUUGAGUUUCCUAAGCCUCUGCCCGCGCCACGCCCUUCUGGGCGGCACCCCCCACUUCCUCCGGGUCUCCACGCAGUCACUCCCGAGCCCCAUUUACAGCCUAGACGGCAGACUUUAUCUCCAGGCUCCUUUCACAUUGCUUAGCUCCCUUUAUUCUUGCUGAUCUUGGCGCCCCACAACUCCCUUCCUACUCUGAGCUGCUUUUUCCCCCGCUGCUCCAGCCCGCUGUGUCAGCUGUAAGCACUCUACAGACUGCAGUUUGUGGUCCCCAGAACGUGCAUAGAAUUUUCUUUCCAAUCAUGGAUCUUCCUUCUGUCGUGAUGUUCUAAAACCUUGGCCUGCUUGCCUGUUACCGGGUUCUCAGCCCUGACCUACACCUGAGCCUCUCCAGGGAGCUUUUCUUAAGCAGGUGAAUACCCUGGUUACACCCCAGAGCAGCUUAGUUAGAAUCUGAGAGUGUGCCCCAACACUGGGGCUUUGAAAAAAAGCUCCUCAAAGGGUGCAGCAAGAUGGCACACCUGGUAAAGACAUGUGGCCUGCAAAACCCUGAGGACCUAAAUUCCAUGCCCGGAAACCACAAAGUGGAAAGGAAGAACACAGUGCCAUACAUUUUCCUCAGACCCCUCGCUCCCCAUCCCCACUAAAUAAAUAUAUAUUGCCCGGAUUGGCUCAGAUGUGAAACCACGUUGAGAAUCUCAGCACCCAGCACCAAGAAAACAUCAUGUUAUAGAGAGAUUGAGUCACACCUAAGGCCCAGUCCAGUCAUUGUUUCAACGCCCGCCACCUGCUCAACCCUUAUGACUCAAGUGGCCUUCCCCUCCCCCCUCCUCUAGAUAACCUGACCCUCAUUCUCUUGGUCUAUGGAUAUCUAGGGAGCCGCUUUAAGAGCCUGGUCUGUGCUAAGGAGCUGGAGAAGAAGGAAGUGAAAAAAAAAAAAAAAAAAAAAAAAAAAAAAAAAAAAAAAAGGAAAGCUCUUUCUUUGGGGGACAUAGCAAAAUGGAGCCCCAAGAUUUCUGUUUCCCAAGACAUCCAUACAAGAUCGCUAAGCUGAGCUUACCAGAUCUAUAGUUGUCCUGAGCACCUACUAUGUUCAAGAACUUCUGGACCCUAGGACCAUGAGACAUGGAUGUCAGGACCUGUUGUGGCGAGUAGAACUAUGGCAAGCAAGAAAACCACAGUCAACAGUCCUGUCUGCAGCCUCCUUGAUGUCACAUGGAGUCCUCAGGAGAGGCUAGGCCUGGAGCCAUCGGAACAAGCUGCAACAGGAACAUGAAAAUCUCAACCGAGAGGGCAAAUGUGAUGCCAAGCUCCACAAGCUGAACCCAAGGGUUGAGACACUGAGCUAUGCAGAUUAGCCUACCAUUACCUCACUGGACACACCAUGAGCUUUUCUCCCCUGGCCCCCAGUGCCUGUAGGCAGAUCAGUGACGGUUGACUUUGGGGGACUCAUUUCUCCAGCUUUGUUAAAUCAAGUCAAUGCAUCUUAAUGACCCAAGAACUUGGAGUUGGGCCUGUGCCAAUCUCACUGUAGUCCAUCCAAGGAUCAUAAACCUCUGAGAGGAGAGUGAGGGGUGGGUAAGGAAAAGUCUUCCUAGAGAGGGACUGUCUCACUGGUGCUGUCAACAAGCAACCCUCACAAGGUGAUGGCUUAGAGAAAGAAAUUGAUGACAUGAGUAGGCAUUGGUGGCAAAUGGAGUUUACCCUAGGACCCAAGCUGGUGGAGGGUCCAGUUUGUCACCUCUGCCAAAAUGGAAGAAGGGGGCACUACGCACUGGUCAUGCGUUGAUAAAACUAAUGUUCAGAAAAAAAAAAUUAACAAAAAAAUUAUGUGACACUUUUUUUUUUGCAUUACAUUGACCCCAGUAACUCAGCUGACCCCCAACAAGUGUUCAAAUGACAGGAAACUGGAAUUCCACCUCGUGUCCCACCAAGGCCUGCAAACAUAGUGUAAUCAGCAUAAGUGAGUUCCCUGGGAAGGGCAAUGGCUCCUCAGGUUCUUCUGAUGGUUUUUCCCUCUGAGACUGUUAAAGGUGGAAUGGGACAUUGACUGCCUGCCCCUAAUCUCAGGAGGAAGGACUAGCACUUUGAAAACCACUUUUGAGGAAUAAGUAUGACCUAGACUGUGCCAACCAUAUCAAGGGCCUGCUGAAUAGGAGAAAUUAACAUGGGUCCUUGGUUAUUAGACCCACCUCAGAGAUUAAAGGAAAGGGAUUAGACACUCUCAAGUCAUUGGAACACUCAUGUUCUCAGAGCUUAUGGCUUCUUUUUGUCAUUCAACAUGAUAUGUUGGUAGAUGUUGGCCUAGAUUCUCAAUGAACCAAUUGGCCAAUUCUGUGGCCACCCAUUCUUUUCAUUAUUUUAUAACAGUGCAGGAGUGGUCUUGCUGUACAAGGUAAGCUAAAUGGUAUGGAGUUGGACUCAAUAAUACAGUUGCCAUGGGUGACUUGCCUUCUCCAUCCAAAUCCAUAUGGCCUAACCCUUGUGGCCUUGGAACAAAACUACACUGGGAGACAGGUCAUCACCAUUAAAUGGUCUCAUCUGA
ensembl:processed_transcript Gm2895 predicted gene 2895